AUGGCGAUUGAAGGUGGAGAGAGAACCUGUGGAGUACAUGAACUUACCUGUUUUAGAAAAGUAUCUCCAGAGGCAGUUGGGUUUUUGUCAGCUGUUUGGGUGUUUAUUAUCCUGAUGCUGCUUCUUUUUCUCUAUAUUAAUAAGCAGUUCUGUUUUGAAAAUGUUGGAGGGCUUCCAGAUCUUGGUUCAGAAUACAGUACAAGGAACAAUUCACAAGAUAAAAUGUGUCUGUGACUCCCAAAUGAGCGUGUCAGAAAUGUCUUGUAGUGAAAGUACAUCCGCAUGUCAGUCUCUCGAAGACGGGUCAGUUCCAGAAAUUCUCAUUAGCCUGCUUUAUAAUGCCACAAAUGGGAGACUAUCAGCAGAAGUGAUAAAAGGCAGCCACUUAAAAAAUUGGGCAGCAAACAGACCACCCAAUACAUAUGUUAAGUUAACUCUACGGAAAUCCACGGAUCAAGAGAUGUCCAAAUGCAAGAUAUCCAUCCGCAGAGGGCGGCCAAAUCCAGUAUACAAGGAAACUUUUGUUUUCAAAGUGACCCUAUUUCAGCUUUCUCAUGUGACACUCAUGCUGUCUGUGUAUAACAAAAGCAGCAUGAGAAGAAAGAUGAUAGGCUGGAUUUAUUUAGGUCUCAACAGCUCUGGAGAAGAACUCAAUCACUGGACUGAAAUGAAAGAGUCAAAAGGACGGCAAGUACGUAGAUGGCAGGCGUUGCUAGAGUCA
rnacentral:lncRNA from 1 species